CGUGGAGAGCGGACCACGGCCGCUGCCGUCGAAAGAACUGCACUACACCGGCAGAAUUUCCCUGCCUGCCUGAGAUUACCGCGCGGUGGACGGAGGACGCAGCCCACACCGGAAGAGCAUUUCCCAGCUUCCUCCACGUCGGCGACGAGUUACCUGUGCCUCGCACUUCGCCCAGUAAAACCACACUUCCCAGAAGGCUGCGCGUUCGCGCGCGCUUUGGGAGCCCAGCGAGAAAAACGGCUGAGUUUUCCGAGGAGUGCCACCGUCUGCAGCCUUCGUUGCAAAGCUGCUCUGCUAGGACGCGCACACGAAGUGUCGAGAGGACAACAGGCCCGCGCUCUGCGUGCUUCUUAAGUACAGGGGCGCCCAAAGCACGAAACUACACUUCCCAGAACAUGAUGCGGCCGCGAAAGGUCUUCCGGGUCGCCGGGUCGCUAGCGCGGACGCCCUCCUGCUGGGACUUGGGCAGUCCUUGCUGGUGCCGGGGGAGAGCGGGCGUCUAUCCGCGGAAGGUUUCUCAGGCAGAAUUCUGAGCCGCUCUGGCCAGCUCGUGUGGGCCUGGAGUGUUGGCGCCAGCUUGCCCAGCACUGUGGUUCCUAAAAGGCCCUGUGUCCGGGCUGUCAUGGCAACCGUUGUGAGCGGACAGAAGACACUUCUCGGAAAUUCGUGCGGUCCCGUCACGGCUAUGAUACUGACUGCCGCUAUCAUGUGUACAGGUCCUCGAAGGACUCAGAAACGGCGGCCUCAGGACAUAAAGCUUCUGAGGCGAGCAUCUAAGGCGAGAAAGGAAGUCUUGUUACGAAACUAUGCCCAAGCCAGACUGCACUGAAAACCCGCCAGCAUGGACCGGAGAACUUCAGGUCACUGUUCCUUGGGGUUAAACUGGAGUUUGAUGGGAUGGAAGCCACACUGACUCCUGGGUCUUUAAUCUUGCCUUCCUGUGAGGAAGAUGAAAGUGGGUCUUCUCUCCCUUUCUCAACCUCCCUCUUCGACCUGCUGCAUGCCGCCCCAGAAAGCCACCAUCACCACCAACUGGUUCCAGAACAGGACAGUCGCAGCUCCUGAGACUGGUCUGUCCGAGGCUCCAGAUAGGAAGGCUUUCCCCAGGAAGCAAGGCGGUAGUCCUGAAACUUCAGACCCAUCUGCCUGGCCAGGGUGUGGAGCAAUGCCUUCCUGCCCGAAGUAGCAUUAAGUUCGUUCCAUGCCCCUGGAGCACUGCACAGGGGACCCAGUCUGAAGGUCCUGAUUGUACCAAAUUGUCCUCUGUGCCAGAUGUGAAAGGUUGCCCUGAAGAGGCUGGGCGUCCUCCGUUGGCCCGGCUGCACCCGGGCAUGGUGCAUUAAGUUUCUCCACCCCUCGGCUCAUCGUCCAGUUGCGGCUAUUGUCGUUUGUACGCGCUGUGCUCCCUCGGGCCCCGAGCUUCCCCCGGAUCCAGUCUCUCAGGGCCGCCCGGGCACGCACCAGCUCUUCCACCAGGCUGGCUCCUUUAGCCCUGCCCACAGCUGCUCGGUCAUGCUCGUCUGUGUGCUUGAAGAUCUCCAACAGCGUCUGCAGUCCUGACACGCAUCUUCCGUGACUUUAGCUGGUCUAAAAGGGAAUCUGUGCAUUUCUUACACAGUGGUGAUCCGCAUCUCUCUGGCCCAAUGGGGGGGGGGGGUCAGAAAGGACCCGCGGUGACCUGUCUUUGGCUCACGUUCUCCAUGGUGCCACCACUGGACGUCUCCGCAAACAGUGCAAAGCUGUUGGCACCCUGCGUACGCGUCAUGGUGGCUGGGAGAUGAGGACUCUGCGGGACAUACCAUCCUGGGGAGGUUCAGUACAUGGCUUCUCCCCUUAGUUAGCCCCUUCCUCCGGGGCCUCUCCUGGUUUCACCUGGGCUGGAGCACGUCAUGGAGCUGGGAGCACCUGGGUGGUGAUGCGAUCCAUUUCGGGGCCUGGCUGCAGCACUGACAGCCAGAGCGGGUCUGCACGGCGCUGCUAGGCCCCUGCAACCCCUCCAUCCUUUGGGACCUGGAGCCACCAUCCUCCUCCAGUCUACCCCGGGGGAGCCGUGGCCUCUAGAACUGCAGCCACCCCGUCUUCAGCUACUUCCCCAUCCGCCAGACAACAGGAACUCACUUUCACUGAGCAUUUAUUAUGCACCUGUUAGUGUUCUCAGUGCUUUAUAUGCACUGACCCAUUCACUUCGCCAACAUCCACCAGCGUGUUAGGAGCCAGAUGCUGGACAAGGGGCUGGCCCCAGCUGUGGUAACUGCAGUCCCAGACCCUGUUGCUUUGGAGAGUGGGGUUUGGUGGGCAAGACAACCCUGGGAAUGCCCAUGGCGGGGGGUGGGGGGAGGAUGUUCUUAGGGGCAGGGAGCUUCAGACGGGCCUCCGCAUACUAAAAGAACUCUCCCUGGCCCAAGCCCCCUUCACCUGCAACACCUCUUCCCAAUACACUUGAAAGAGCUGGCUAUUCUUGAUGCUUCCUCUUCCUUCCCUCCCCCCAGCUCAAGGGGCUCUGACCUACUUGUGCCUCACUGCUGCCCUGCAACAGCUUUAUUCAGGUCACGGUGAUCCCCACCUUCCCAGAGCCCCUGCUGCAGACCCUGCCCUUUUUCUGCAAGGCUUCUCUGAUGUCACCUUAAUCCACCCUCCCUACCCCGCCAGCCCACCUCACUAGCCACCCCUGCUCCAUCCCCCUUGCCAAGAGUGAGAUGUUGGGCCCCUUCCCUUUUCCGUCUCACCCUCCUUCCCUGUGAUCUCAGCCAUGAUCUCGAACCCCCCUCGAUCGCCAGCUCGGACUUCCUCCCAACUGCUUGCUCCACACGACAGACACAGUGGUGUCUGUCCUCUGCCUCCAUAUGGCAAAGCGGAGUACUCCAUUUACAGUCCCCCACAGAACCUGUUCUGCCACGUCUCCCCCUUCAGGGAAGGGGUAACACAUCCACCCACGCGCUCAGUCUAAAAGCCAGUGAAUCGGGGUGCCUGGGUGGCGCAGUCGUUAAGCGUCUGCCUUCGGCUCAGGGCGUGAUCCCGGCGUUCCAGGAUCGAGUCCCACAUCAGGCUCCUCCGCGGAAGUCUGCUUCUUCCUCUCCCACUCCCCCUGCUUGUGUUCUCUCUCACUGACUGUCUGUCUCUGUCAAAUAAAU
rnacentral:lncRNA from 1 species